GACGAACGCUGGCGGCGUGCUUAACACAUGCAAGUCGAACGGAAAGGCCCUGCUUUUGUGGGGUGCUCGAGUUGCGAACGGGUGAGUAACACGUGAGUAACCUGCCCUUGACUUUGGGAUAACUUCAGGAAACUGGGGCUAAUACCGCAUAUGAGCUCCUGCUGCAUGGUGGGGGUUGGAUAGUUUCGGCGGUUGGGGAUGGACUCGCGGCUUAUCAGCUUGUUGGUGGGCUAGUUGGUUACCAAGGGUUUGACGGGUAGCCGGCCCGAGAGGGGGAACGGGGAAAAUGGGCAGGGGGCUACGGCCGGCAGCAGUUGGGAAGGAGGCACGGGGAAUAGUACACAAUGGGAGGAAGCCUGAUGCAGCAACGCCGCGUGCGGGAUGACGGCCUUCGGGUUGUAAACCGCUUUCGCCUGUGACGAAGCGUGAGUGACGGUAAUGGGUAAAGAAGCACCGGCUAACUACGUG
rnacentral:rRNA from 1 species